rnacentral:sRNA from 1 species
GCACUGGUUACGUGUGAACUGGUAUGGCUUCACACUUUGCUCAUGUCUUUAAAAGCUAGCUACUUGGUUCCUGUGUUAUAUUCUGAUAGCACAACUGCUAUUUACAUCGCCACAAAUCCUGUGUUCCAUGAAAGAACGAAGCAUAUAGAGCUAGAUUGUCACACGGUUAGGGAGAAACUAGACAAUGGCGAGCUGAAGUUGCUUCAUGUGCGAACUGAAGACCAAGUAGCGGACAUUCUUACUAAUCCGUUAUUUCCCCAUCAAUUCGAACACCUUAAAUCCAAGAUGAGCAUUCUUAAUAUCUUUUCAUGCACAUCUUGAGGGGGCAUAUCAGAUAUGUAUAUUGGUUUAGUUGGUAUUAGUUGGUUUAGUAGAACCAUUGUAUAGUGUAAAGUAUAUAAGACAUUUGUACAGAAUCAUUUUACAAUUAAUGAGAAAAGGCUUCAUAAUAUCUUCAACAAACUUUUCUCUCAUCUCUAUUCCGCUAAUAAUUCAUUUUAACGAAGUAAAUACUAUUUUUAAAUCCACUCUCAUAUUUUAACCAUUUUUUAGUUAAAUUUAAUAUAGAAGAAAUUAUUUUUAAAAAAA